rnacentral:rRNA from 1 species
AUUGAACGCUGGCGGCAUGCUUUACACAUGCAAGUCGAACGGCAGCACGGACUUCGGUCUGGUGGCGAGUGGCGAACGGGUGAGUAAUACAUCGGAACGUACCCAGUAAUGGGGGAUAACUAUCCGAAAGGAUAGCUAAUACCGCAUACGCCCUACGGGGGAAAGAGGGGGAACGCAAGACCUCUUGUUAUUGGAGCGGCCGAUGGCUGAUUAGCUAGUUGGUGAGGUAAAGGCUCACCAAGGCGACGAUCAGUAGCGGGUCUUAGAGGAAGAUCCGCCACACUGGAACUGAGACACGGUCCAGACUCCUACGGGAGGCAGUAGUGGGGAAUCUUGGACAAUGGGCGCAAGCCUGAUCCAGCAAUGCCGCGUGCGUGAAGAAGGCCUUCGGGUUGUAAAGCGCUUUUGUCAGGGAGCAAAUCCUUGUGGCUAAUACCCACCGGGGAUGAGAGUACCUGAAGAAUAAGGACCGGCUAACUACGUGCCAGCAGCCGCGGUAACAC